rnacentral:ncRNA from 1 species
UAAUAAAGUUUUAUUCUUGCUUAAAAAUUUAUUACAAUUAUAUUUUACAUGUAAAUUUUUGUGGGCUUAAAUAAUUUAUCUAAAAGAAAAUUUUAUUUUGUAAUUCACAGUAUUUGAUUUUAAUUUUUAAAGAAAUUUAGAAUUAGUAAUAUUUUAUAGUAUCGGUAAAUAUCGUGCCAGCUACCGCGGUUAUACGAAAGAUACAAGUAAAUUUUAUUAGAAAAUAGUUAAUUAUUUAUGGUAAAAAUUAUUUUGUAAAUUAUUAAGUGAAAUUUUAUUUUAUUAAAUAUUUUUUAAAAUUAAAUGAAGCUAUGAAAUUUAAAUAUAAAACUAGGAUUAGAUACCCUAUUAUUUUAAAAGUAAAUUAAAUUUCUAGAGUAGUAAUAGUUAUAUUCUUGAAACUUAAAGAAUUUGGCGGUGUUUUAGUCUUUUCAGAGGAACCUGUUCCGUAAUCGAUAAUCCACGUUUGACCUUACUUAAAUUAAUAAUAUGUAUACCGUCGUCAUCAGAAUGUCUUAAAAGAGGAUAGAAUUUUCUUAAUAUAAAAUUAUAUUUAAUGUCAGAUCAAGGUGCAGUUAAUAUUUAAGUGGAAAUGGGUUACAUUAAUUAAAUUUAUAUGGAUUAAAAAUUGAAAAAUUUUUAUGAAAGUGGAUUUGAUAGUAAAUAAAUAAAUAUUGUUUUAUUGAUUUUAGCUCUAAAACAUGCACACAUCGCCCGUCGCUCUCGUUAUUUAAAAUGAGAUAAGUCGUAACAUAGUAGAUGUACCGGAAGGUGUAUCUAGAAAGA